GACGAACGCUGGCGGCGUGCUUAACACAUGCAAGUCGAACGGAAAGGCCCUGCUUUUGUGGGGUGCUCGAGUGGCGAACGGGUGAGUAACACGUGAGUAACCUGCCCUUGACUUUGGGAUAACUUCAGGAAACUGGGGCUAAUACCGUAUAGGAGCUCCUGCUGCAUGGUGGGGGUUGGAAAGUUUCGGCGGUUGGGGAUGGACUCGCGGCUUAUCAGCUUGUUGGUGGGGUAGUGGCUUACCAAGGCUUUGACGGGUAGCCGGCCUGAGAGGGUGACCGGCGACAUUGGGACUGAGAUACGGCCCAGACUCCUACGGGAGGCAGCAGUGGGGAAUAUUGCACAAUGGGCGGAAGCCUGAUGAAGCAACGCCGCGUGCGGGAUGACGGCCUUCGGGUUGUAAACCGCUUUCGCCUGUGACGAAGCGUGAGUGACGGUAAUGGGUAAAGAAGCACCGGCUAACUACGUG
rnacentral:rRNA from 1 species